rnacentral:tRNA from 1 species
GCCGGUGUAGCUCAGUUGGUAGAGCAGCCGUUUCGUAAAUGGCAGGUUCAUCGGUUCGAGCCCGAUCACCGGCU